GACGAACGCUGGCGGCGUGCCUAAUACAUGCAAGUUGAGCGCUGAAGGUUGGUACUUGUACCAACUGGAUGAGCAGCGAACGGGUGAGUAACGCGUGGGGAAUCUGCCUUUGAGCGGGGGACAACAUUUGGAAACGAAUGCUAAUACCGCAUAAAAACUUUAAACACAAGUUUUAAGUUUGAAAGAUGCAAUUGCAUCACUCAAAGAUGAUCCCGCGUUGUAUUAGCUAGUUGGUGAGGUAAAGGCUCACCAAGGCGAUGAUACAUAGCCGACCUGAGAGGGUGAUCGGCCACAUUGGGACUGAGACACGGCCCAAACUCCUACGGGAGGCAGCAGUAGGGAAUCUUCGGCAAUGGACGAAAGUCUGACCGAGCAACGCCGCGUGAGUGAAGAAGGUUUUCGGAUCGUAAAACUCUGUUGGUAGAGAAGAACGUUGGUGAAAGUGGAAAGCUCAUCAAGUGACGGUAACUACCCAGAAAGGGACGGCUAACUACGUG
rnacentral:rRNA from 1 species